rnacentral:rRNA from 1 species
UAGGGAAUAUUGGUCAAUGGGUGAAAGCCUGAACCAGCCAUGCCGCGUGCAGGAAGACGGCCUUCUGGGUUGUAAACUGCUUUUAUCUGGGGAUAAAAUACCCUUGCGAGGGAGACUGAAGGUACCAGAUGAAUAAGCCACGGCUAACUACGUG